AUGGAACGCUGGCGGCAGGCCUAACACAUGCAAGUCGAGCGGAGCGGCGGACGGGUGAGUAAUGCCGAGGAAUAUGCCUGGUGGUGGGGGAUAACGUCCGGAAACGGGCGCUAAUACCGCAUACUAUCAGAUGAGCCUAGGUCGGGUUAGCUAGUUGGGGGGGUAAAGGCCUACCAAGGAGACGCUCCGUAACUGGACUGAGAGGAUGAUCGGUCACACUGGAACUGAGACACGGUACAGACUCCUACGGGAGGCAGCAGUGGGGAAUAUUGGGCAAUGGGCGAAAGCCUGAUCCAGCACUGCAGCGUGUGUGAAGAAGGUCGUCGGAUUGUAAAGCACUGUAAUUUGGGAGGCGUUACCAACAGAAUAAGCACCGGCUAACUUCGUGCCAGCAGCCGCGGUAAUAC
rnacentral:rRNA from 1 species